rnacentral:rRNA from 1 species
ACGGAAGGCAGCAGUGGGGAAUAUUGCACAAUGGGGGAAACCCUGAUGCAGCAACGCCGCGUGAGUGAAGAAGUAUUUCGGUAUGUAAAGCUCUAUCAGCAGGGAAGAUAAUGACGGUACCUGACUAAGAAGCUCCGGCUAAAUACGUGCCAGCAGCCGCGGUAAUACGUAUGGAGCAAGCGUUAUCCGGAUGUACUGGGUGUAAAGGGUGCGUAGGUGGCAUGGUAAGUCAGAUGUGAAAUACCGGGGCUCAACCCCGGAGCUGCAUUUGAAACUGCCAGGCUGGAGUACAGGAGAGGCAAGCGGAAUUCCUAGUGUAGCGGUGAAAUGCGUAGAUAUUAGGAGGAACACCAGUGGCGAAGGCGGCUUGCUGGACGACAACUGACGCUGAGGCGCGAAAGCGUGGGGAGCAAACAGGAUUAGAUACCCUGGUA